rnacentral:rRNA from 1 species
GCGACCCCAGGUCAAGCGGGACU